rnacentral:lncRNA from 1 species
GCGCCCCUAAAGGCCCCGUGGGGGGGUCCCGGUGACCCUAAAGCCCCCGUGGGGGGGUCCCGGUGCCUAUAAAGGUCUUGUGGGGGGGGUCCUGGUGCCCCUAAAGGUCUCAUGGGGGGGUCCCGGUGACCCUAAAGGCCCCGUGGGGGGGUCCCAGAGCCCCUAAAGCCCCCGUGGGGGGGUCCCGGUGCCCCCAAGCCCCCCCAGAGCCCCCUCGGUGCCCAUAAAGCCCCUGUGGGGGGGUCCGGGUGCCCGUGGGGUGGUCCCGGUGCCCACUCAGACCCCACGGGGGGGUCCCGGUGCCCCCAACCUCCUCCCAGAGCCCCCCCCGGUGACCCUAAAGGCCCCUUGGGGGACCCGGUGACCCUAAGGGACCCGUGUGGGGGUUCUGGUGACCCUAAAGCCCCCACGGGGGGGGUCCAGGUGACCCUUGGGGUCAUCCUAGCGCCCCUAAAGGCCCCGUGGGGGGGUCCCGGUGACCCUAAAGGCCCCGUGGGGGAGUCCCGGUGCCCCUAAGAGCCCCGUGGGGGGGUCCCAGUGACCUAAGAGCCCCCAUGGGUGUGUCCCAGUGACCCUAAAGGCCUCGUAGGGGGGUCCCGGUGCCCCCAAAAGCCCCCGUGGGGGUGUCCCGGUGACCCUUGGGGUCAUCCUAGCGCCCCUAAAUCCCCCGUGGGGGUGUCCCGGUGACCCUUGGGGUCAUCCUAGCACCCCUAACGGCCUUGUGGGGGGGUCCCAGUGACCCUAAAGCCCCCGAGGGUGGGUCCCGGUGCCCCUAAAGCCCCCGAGGGGGGGUCCUGGUGACCCUUAGAGCGCCGUGGGGGGGUCCCGGUGACCCUUGGGGUCAUCCCAGCGCCCCUAAAGUCCCCGUGGGGGGGUCCCGGUGCCCAUAAAGGUCCCGGGGGGGGUCCCGGUGACCCUAAGAGCCCCGUGGGGGGGUUGCAGUGACCCUGAGAGCCCCCAUGGGUGUGUCCCAGUGACCCUAAAGCCCCCGGGGGGGGUUCCGGUGACCCUUGGGGUCAUCCUAGCACCCCUAACGGCCUUGUGGGGGGGUCCCAGUGACCCUAAAGCCCCCCGGGGGGGGUCCCAGUGUUCCUAAAGCCCCUGAGGGGGGGUCCUGGUGACCCUAAGAGCGCCGUGGGGGGGUCCCGGUGCCCCUAAAGCCCCCGUGGGGGGGUCCCGGUGCCCCUAAAGCCCCCGAGGGGGGGUCCCGGUGACCCUAAAGGCCCCGUGGGGGGGUCCCGGUGACCCUUGGGGUCAUCCCAGCGCCCCUAAAGCCCCUGAGGGGGGGUCCCGGUGCCCCUAAAGCCCUCGGGGGGGUUCCUGGUGACCCUUGGGGGUCAUCCUAGCACCCCUAAAACCCCCGGGGGGGGUCCCGCUGCCCCUAAAGCCCCCGUGGGAGGGUCCUGGUGCCUCUAAGAGCCCCGUGGGGGGGUUCCAGUGACCCUGAGAGCCCCCAUGGGUGUGUCCCAGUGACGCUAAAGGCCUCGUAGGGGGGUCCCGGUGCCCCCAAAAGCCC